UUCAGUGGUAGAGCGCUUGCCUAGGAAGCGCAAGGUCCUGGGUUCGAUCCCCAGCCCCGAAAAAAAAAAUAAAUGGAGAAGCCAUCUCCCCAACCCCUCCACUUCAUUUGAAACAAUGUCUCGCUGAACCCGGAGCUUCACUAAUCCACAAGACUAGCUGGCCAGAGAGCCCAUCUGUAAUCCCACCUGGGGUUUGCUGGGGAUGGAACUCAGUUCCUCAUGCUUGUAUGUCAGCACUUUACCCACUGAGCCACGCCCCCAGCCCCUAUUGGCUGCUUUCUAAGAACAACAUUUCGGAAGCUCAUUCAUGUUGCAUGUGUUAGCAAUUAAUCUAUUUUGUUGCCGAGAACAUUUUGCCGAGUGAAUAUUCUUCAGUUUAAGAAGCUGUGCUUUUUACAAUUUCAUACCUAUAUGAGGCACUUUAAUCUCACCCCUGAUAAGCUUCUGUUCCCCGUCCCUCUUCCACUUUUAUUUCUUCUUUCUGUUAUUUUAUGUUGGCUCGAUGCAUUUAAUUAGCAUUGCUGGGGGGGUUAGUUGCUUCAGCAAAGGCAACUUACUAUGGCUAUACCACAGAGGAAUGCGCCCUUAUCCCCAGCCCCUGCCCUACCUCCUGCCCUACCCAGCCCCAGACCAUAGCUCCUGAGGGGAGAGUGGGCCUCAGAACCCCUCCCCCAUCUUGUUCAGGUCUUAUGCAAGAAACCACAGCUGCUUCAAGUUUGUGAGUCCAACAGUCAUGACCGGAAAGUGUUCUCAUAGCCGUCCUCUUGCAGCUUCCAGGGGAUCUGGCCCCAGAGCUUCCUGGUGAUUCUCCCGUCUUUGUCCCUCAUGUCACCUCAGGGAUGCAGGGAUCACAGAUGCACACGGAGAGGCUGCAUCCUGCUCUUCAGGUGGUUCCGAGCAUCAACUUCAGAUCUCCCGGCUUACAUAGUCUUACCAUGUAGCCCAGGCUGGCCUUGAACCUGAAGCCUCAGCUCCCUCCCCCACCCCGAGUGUUGGGAUUACAGAUGUGCAUCACAACCCCUGUAGAAUUAUUACCCCAUUUCGGAGCAAGCAGAAAGCCCACAGAGCUGCCUGCUUCUGGGAAGAAAUGUGUCGCCCUGGGAAGGAAAUGGAAUUCGAGAUGGCCUGCCCUCCAGCCUGGCUUCUGGCCACUUAGAAGCAGCAUAGCUGUGUCAAACACGCGGAGCGCUGGGAUAAUUGGAAACAGAUGAGUGACAUCCUUUCAAGCUCUGGCUAUCAUGGAAUUCUCUUACAGACCGGUCUGGCCUCAAAUUCAGAGACAUGCCCUGUUCCCAAGGUGCUGGGAUCCAAGGUAUCUACCACCACACCUUGCUACCAUCUUCUCGAUUAAUGAGCGAUGUGGGAGGGGAUGCCAACCUGGGCAGGUGGUCUUGCCAUGAGGAACAAGACAUCAAGCAGUGUUCCUCCAUGAUCCCUGCUCCUCCAUGAUCCCUGCUUCCGUUCCUGCCUCCAACUCUUGCCCGGACUUCUCUCCAUAAUAGACUGUGAGCUGUAAAACAACUAAACCAUUUCCUCCCCGACUUGUUUUUGGUGAUGCAGUUUUGUCACAGCGAGAGAAAGAAAACUAGCACACUUGGCAGCAAGCCCCAUUCUCUGUGGUAUAGAAGUAACAGGCACCAUGUGGCUUUUCUAUGCAGUUGCUGGGGAUUCAAACUCAAGACCUUGUGCUUGUGUAAGAAAAGCCGGGGGAGAAGGCUUGGAAAACUCACAGGAAACUUGUGUAACUCAGGAAGCUCAAGAAACUUACAGCACUCACAGGGCUCCUUCCUGUGGUUAGCACUCACAGACUUACUUAGCAUUGCCAGCGGGAACGCUCUUGGUGGAAGCCGGCACAGGAGCGCAACAGCCACGUCACGCCAGGAGACAACGGUUUAUGCUCUCUUCAUUCUUUUUUUUUUUUUUUUGGUUCUUUUUUUUUCGGAGCUGGGGACCGAACCCGGGGCCUUGCGCUUCCUAGGUAAGCGCUCUACCACUGAGCUAAAUCCCCAGCCCCUGCUCUCUUCAUUCUUUCUGCCUUCUCAUCUCUGAUGCUCCCUGAGCCUUUAGGAGGUUGAUACGGAUGUGCCAUUUACGGAGGAGAACUCGACAGUCACUCUCAGUGUUUGAACCAGUUCCGACUCUGCAUCGACAGCAGCCCACUGCAGAGAGGGGCUUCCUUCCCUGGCGGCGCCUGACUGCGGAACCCACCUCUGAUACACUGGAUUAGCUACUUUUCUAUUGCUGUGAUAAAACACGUGACCAGGGCAACUUACAGAAGGAAGAACUUAUUUGCCUUACAGUCCCAGAGGGACAAUGCAAGCAGGAAGCAGAGAUCCCACGCAUGGUGACACACUACCUCCAUCACGGCCACACCUCCUGAGCUUCCCUAAACAGCACCAUUAAUUGGCGAAUCAAGUUUUCAAACACCUGACACUGUCGGGGACCAUCAUCCAAACAAUAGAUCCCUGGCUGUCCUAAUAUUAGCUUUGUAGACCAGGUUGGCCUCGAAUUCCACAGAGAUCCACCUGCCUCUGCCUCCUGAGUUCUGGGAAUAAAGCCGUGUGGCACCACCCCCACCCAGCUGCUUUUGGCCAUUCUUAAAGCAUCACUGAUUGUCAGGAGACUGUGUAACCAGCCCAACCUCACCAAGUGGAUGUUUCCCAUGCAAGUCACUGAAGGCUUCACUGCAGUUGGCAGGUCGAGAAAGGAUGAGGCGUCCUCUGAACACAGGCCUCCAGCUUGGUUGUCACGAAUCUGGGACCACUAGCGGAAGGAUAGCACCACCCACAAUGGGCUGGGCCCUCCCUCAUCAAUCACUAAGAACCCUUGCCUGCAGCCUGAGGCAUUUUCUCAAUCGACGCCCAGUCUACACUCCAGCUCAGUGCCAAGCUGAAAGAAAAUAAGCCAGCACACAUGAAAUACAAACCAAUGUCUCAUGAACUUUUUCAGGUGAGACUGUCUCGGUCUGGAACUUGCCAAUUACGCUAGGUUGACCAGCCAGGCAGCCCUAAGGACCUACUUGUUCCUUCUGCCUAGCUCUGGGGUUAUAGGCCUGAUUCACAACACCAGGAAGCUUUUAAAAGGAAGGCUCUGGGAAUUGAACUCAGGUCCUCAACCUUGUAAGGUAAGCAUUUUAUCAACUCCUUAGCCCAAAAUUUGCACACCGAUCAGUGUGGGAGUUUGAUCAGCUCUGUUCCAACCUGAUCCAUUUAUCUCUCCUUUAAAAGAAUCUGGUGGUUCUCUGCUCCUGGGAGGUUACCAUGUGGAUACCUGGCGGAAUUCCUGGACUUAAGUGAUCUUCCUGCCUCAGCCUCCAGAGUAGCUGGUGUGUGCCACUGAGCCUGGCUUAAAUUUUGCAUCCUGAAGCCCCGACUCCCAGUUUACUAUACGAGUAAAUUUGGAGAUAGGGUCUCUAUAGAAGUGACUCAGGGAAGAUGAUGUCACUAGAGUGACUUAAUUCAAUUUGCCUGAUAUAAGGAGAGGAUUGGGAGGCAGAGGGGACCGUGUGAGGACAAAGGGAGAAAACAGCAAGUGCCAGCCCAAGAGACAGGCUUCGUUGGGGCCAACUCUUGGGACACCAAGACAUCCAGCCUACAUAACAGGAAGAGAAUGAUAUCUUUGGUAUUGAUCACAGUGUCCCUGUGGUCCACACUGCCUGCUGAGAGCGUUCUGUGGAUUAAGUGGAACACUGGGGCCAGUGCAGGGAGAUCUCAUGGGAUUCAACCAUGACAAAAUGCCAGCCAUGGUGCCACUCCCAUUCAGGACCCAAAGUGGAAUCAUCUGAUUCCCAGUGGAAUUAGAGGAACUUUGUAGUGUUAUAUGACAGAUCCCCCCCCCCCCCCGGGAGAUAUAACACAUACACACACACAUGUGCAUGCACUCAGAAAAGGAGUCCACAACAGACCAAAUCAAGGGCCAUAUCAAUCUGGUGAUGAAGAGUUAAAUUUCAAAAAGUUAGUCUCAAACAAAGUCCAGACAUGCCUGAGAGAAUUUGAGAUAGGGCUCACCAGCCUGACUGUCAGCUCCCAAGGACACUGGCCAUCUGGAGCCACCCCCUCCCCUUCCUUCACUCCCUGAGGAUGGGUCAUCCCCCUGCUGCAGUGAGAUGAGUUGCCCUGCCCACAUUGCUGAGAUGCUAGAUUACACGUAUGCUUUGUUGAUGUAACUCCGUGCCAAAAGUAACUGUGCACCCUUUGUAUUAGCCAAUUAUGUGUAUCCACACGAAACCCCUGGUUUUCCCUAUAUAAGCUCCUGCCUAGAGAGGCUCGGGGCUUGACUCAGUCUCCUGUGUGGGAUACGUGUCAGCCCGAGAUCUCGUAAAUAAAACUGCCUCUUGCUGAUU